GGGGACGGGGAGGACGGGACAGAAAGUUCGGCAUCGACGGGGCGGGAGGUGGGGGCGCUGCCCCGCGCCUUUGUUCAGCGGGGAGAGGACCUGCGGCGGAGCCGAGACGACCGCGCAGAUAGGCACGCACCCGGCAGCGCGGCCCCGCGCCCACGGGACGAGGAGGAGGAGGGAGGCAGAAGGUCCCCUUGCAGCCUCCCUCACUCUCUCCCUCCCUCCAAGGUCAAAACAUGGCUGUCCAAAGAAUGGGAUGCUUGCCAAAACAUCAAUCUGUGCUGAGUGCCAUACUCAUUAUCCUUCCAGUGGUGGAUUACAACUCGGGUCUCCUCAGGAGGUGACUGAUGUGGAACAAACUGUACGACUGUCUUUGCUGUUUGGAUACGUGUGUAAGUUAACGGGCUACUGGGAGAAGAUGAAGAGGCUUUUGCAGAAAAAUGAGGAUAUCAUGGGAAGUGCUGCUGCUAACCAUUUGGAUUAUAUUGCUGUCUGACACAGAAGUUCUGCAGAUUACGUAAGGAUGCGGUCAGUGCCUGCGUUUGGCUUGCCCUUACACAGAAGAGUGUCUCUGAGACUUGGAGUUCAGAUGAAGGGAAGAAAGCAGCAGGAACUCUCCAGAUCUUUUUUGUUAUGUGAUUGCUGAAGCAUUUUCCUGGCACAGCAGUAAUGAUUGAUGAACACACUUCAGACUAGGAGCCACAGAGCAGUGAGGAUUUAUGCAUCUGGAAUAGAACUAUGAAUGGGAUUGCAGGAUUUACAUGGAGGACUCUGAAAUCCCUCACUUCCUGCUCCAGGAAGGGUAGGUGAAUGGGAUAAUUCAUAAUUAACUUGGUCCUUACUUCAGAAGGUUGUUAGUCAAAACAGGAAGAUAUAAUUCAGAUGAAUGUAUGUGAGAAUAGAAGAGACUUCAGAUGCAGACACACCCCUUAAUUGCAAACACCAGACUUCAGAAUUUUCUGUUCCUGUUUAGUGGAAAGAGGGUUCCCAUAAAGAGUAGCAUGAGGUUGCUACAAAUUACCCCUCCCUCAGCCUGAUCCCCCAGCUGAUACAGAGCUUUUGUAUUUGGUAGCUUUUCACCCAAAGUUGGAGAGUUCUGAAAUGAUGUAAGGGGACUAGAGAUGCACAAGUUGUUCCUAGCAGCUGCAGCCCAGGUUUGGGUUUCUCUUGCAUCCAUCUCUUACUUCUUCACUGCCCACAGAAGGGAAGAGAGAAAUCAGGAGCCAAACCCUUUGGAUCGGUGUGAGUUCACUUCCGGCUCUUUCUUUGUUUCUCACUGAUGCAUAGGGCCAUUAUGAGAGAAUGGCACAUAACUGAUAUUGAAACUAAAUCAUUUCUUUCUUGUUUCUUUCUACCUUGAAAGUAUUUAAUGCAUACAGACUUCAAGUUUUGAUCUGUGAAUGAGAUCUAUGCUUCUUAGUACAAUCUGUUCAGCAGGAGUAGAUACAACUUCUGUUGUAAAAGUGUAAGACUGUGGAGCUCUUAAAAUUUUUGCAGGGGUUCACAAUUCAUCCACGUAGGGUGGAUCAGGAUUUUGUUUGUAAUUCUGUGUAAGUAAUGAUGUUGAACAGUGCCUACGAGUGUGAACUCUGGAUAGCAGAUAUCACUAUCUGCAUAACUCCUGAGGCAAGCUGUGACACAAUAGUAAAGAACUAGUAAAAUUGAACUCUAACACAAGAACUAGUAAAACUGAGCUCUAAUGCAGGCAGAUUAGCAGCAGAAUCUUUGUAUUAAUUUGAAUGUUCUAAUAGCAUAGGUUUGUUUUGUCUAUUUAAGCAGGGCUAAAAAUAGAAGCUGCAUCAUCCAGGGCAGCGUGGGAUGGCUUCCUAAAUGAGUCUUUCCCUUACAUGAGUGAGGACAGAUAAUCCCCCCAAAAAGACAUGAGUCUGGGCAGGACUUCAGAAAGCCAGCACUGAGAUGUUGUCACACUUCCUACAGCACUGCAACCCAGAGGGAAUGGGACAGGAGGAAUGGUUCUGAUGAUGAUACUAUUGCCUUCAAGAUGCUAGGGAGGAAGUCUGAAGCUUUUCUUGAACCACAAAUCUGCAACUCAUGGAGAGGAAGGAGAAGUGUAUAGUGAGGUGGAGCAGGUUACAGCAAGGUGUGGGUGCAUCUUGGCACAUGGAGGGGGAGCAGGACAGGCAGCAGAACAGCAACGCUGUCAGUAGUAUGUUGGAGUGGCUGGAGCUCUGUGAGCAGAGGAAGAAAGCAAAUGCAAGCGACUUCUCCAGAAGAAGGAGUGGGAUGAAAGGAUGCAGUAGGGUGAAGAGGGUGGGAGUAUUCCUGUUGAAUGAUAUACAACAAAUACUUUCUUCCCUCUGUAGGUGUUUUUUGCUGGGCUGUAUUUGAGUGUAAAUUUGAGAAUCUCCAUCCUCUGCAGAGAGAGAAAAAGUGAAGUAAAGGUUGAGAGCCAGGAAUAAAACUUUUGUGAACUGGAGGAAAAAUCAGGGGUGAAAAGUGUACAGGCAAUAAUAACAAAAAAUAUUUUUUUGGAGGGGAAAUUUGCAAGAUAGGGGAUGGGAAGGAUGGGAAAGCAUCGUCACACUGCCCUCAAAUGUUUGGUUUGGUAGAAGGGGACUGGGGAAGCAACAUUCCUCCCACUGUAAGCAAGGAUCAGGUUUGUGACUGCCUGAGGAAUAUGAACAUCCUGAAAACCUACAGGUCUUGAUGAGGUACAUCCCAGAGUCCAAAGGAAAUUGGCUGAUGUGGUGGCCAACCCACUCUAUGGUACUGGAAAGGUCAUGGCAAUCAGGUGAUGUUUGGAUGAUGGAAAAAAGGCAACAUCACAACAAUUUUUAAGGGUAAAAAGGAUUACCUUCAGUGGACUGAUCAGUAGACAAAGAACUGGCUGCAGGAUCUAGUCCAGAGAGUGAUGGUCUAUGGCUCAAUGUCAGGUUGGAGAUCAGUGACAAGUGAUGUCCCCUAAGGGUCCGUACUGGGACCAAUACUCUUUAAUAUCUUCAUCAGUAAUGCUGACAGUGGGGUGGAGUGCACUCUCAGCAAGUCUGCUGAUGACACCAAGCUGUGGGGUACAAUUGACACACCAGAGGGAUGGGAUGCAAUCCAGAGGGAUUUAGACAGUCUUGAACAGAGGGCCCAGGAGAACCUCAUGAGGUUCAACAAAUCCAAAUGCAUGGUAUUGCACCUCAGUUGAGUCAACAUCUUGUACCAAUACAAGCUAGGAGAUGAAAGGUCUGAGCACAGCCCUGGUGAAAAAUACCUGGGGGUACUGGUGGAUGGCAAGCUGGACAUGAGCCAGCAGUGUGCCCUCACAGCCCAGAAAGUCAACCAUACCCUGGGCUGUAUCAAAAGAUGCAUGACCAGCAGGUCGAGGGAGGUGAUCCUGCCCCUCUGCUGUGCACUGCUGAGGCCUCACUGGGAGUAUUGCAUCCACAUGUGGAGUGCUCAGUACCGGAGAGCUCUGCGCUCAUUUUCUCCAGAUUGGAGAGAGAUGGAUUUGAUGAGUGGACUGUUUGAUGGACAAAGAACUGGCUGUGGGAUCAAGUCCAGAGAGUAGUGGUCAAUGCCUCAGUGUCUGGACGGAAGAUCUGUGACGAGCACUGUCCCCCAGGGCAUCAGUGCUGGGAUCCAUACUCUUUACUGUCUUCCUCAGUGAUGCUGACAGUGGGGUCGAGUGAACCCUCAGUUAGUCUGCUGAUGAUGCCAAGCUGUCGGGUGCAGCCAAGACACCAGAGGAAUGGGAUGCCAUCCAGGGAGACCUAGACAGGCUUGAGCAGUGGGCCCAGGUGAAUCUCAUGAUGUUCAACAACUACAGAACGGCAGUCCUGAAUAACCGAGGAUGUCCCAGUGUACUGGAGAUGAGCAAAUGUGAUGCCCAUCUUCAAAAAUGGCCAGAAAGAUGAUCCUGGUAGCUACAUACCUAUAGACCUCAGUCUCACCUCAGUGCCCGGGAAAGUUAUGGAACGGAUAAUCUUGGGAGCCAUCAUGGACCAAUUAAACAUCAACCAGGGAAUCAGGCCCAGGCAGCAUGGGUUUACGAAUGGUAGGUCCUGUCUGACAAACCUGAUUUCAUUCUAUGACAAGGUGACCCGCUUAGUGGAUGAAGGUAAGGCUGUCGAUGUGGUCUACCUGGACUUCAGUAAAGCCUUUGACACUGCCCCCCACAGCAUUCUUAGUGGGAAGCUGGCUGCUCACGGUUUGGAUGGGCGUAUGCUCCGCUGGGUGAAACACUGGCUGUAUGGCCGGGCCCAAAGAGUUGUGGUCAAUGGAAUUAAAUCCAGUUGGCAGCUGGUCACGAGCGGUGUCCCCCAGGGUUCGCUACUGGGGCCACUUCUGUUUAACAUCCUUAUUAACAGUCCUGAUGAGGGGAUUGAGUGCACCCUCAGUAAGUUUGCAGAUGACACCAAGUUGGGAGGGAGUGUUGAUUUGCCAGAGGGGAGAAAGGCACUACAGAGGGACCUGGAUAGACUGGAUUGAUGGGCCAAGGUUAACUGUAUGAGUUUCAACAGGGCCAAGUGUCGGGUCCUUCAUUUUGGUCACAACAGCCCCAGGCAACCCUACAGGCUUGGGGAGGAGUGGCUGGAAAGCUGCCUGAUGGAAAGGGACCUCGGUGUACUGAUGGACAGUUGGCUGAAUAGGAGCUAGCAGUGUGCCCAGGUGGCCAAGAAGGUCAGUGGCAUCCUGGUUUGUAUCACGAAUGGUGCGGUGAGCAGGGCUGGGGAAGUAAUCCUGUCCCUGUACUUGGCACUUGUGAGGCCUCACCUCGAGUACCAUGUUCAGUUUUGGGCACUUCAGUACAGAAAGGACAUUGAGGUGCUGGAGCAGGUCCAAAGAAGGGCAACAAGGCUUGUGAAGGGCUUGGAGAAUAUGUCCUAUGAGGAGCGACUGAAGGAACUGGGGCUGUUUAGUCAGGGGAAAAGGAGGCUGAGGGGAGACCUUUUUGCUCUCUUCCAACAUCUGAAAGGUACUUACAGCGAGAGUGGGGUUGGUCUCUACUCACUUGUGACAGGUGACAGGACGAGGGAAAAUGGCCUUAAGUUGUGCCAGGGUACAUUUAGGUGGGAUAUCAGGAAAAACUUCUUUACUGAAAGGGUUACUAAGCACUGGAGUAGGCUCCCCGGGGAGGUGGCUGAGAAACCAUCCCUGGAUGUGCUUUAAAAAAUAUUUGAAUGUGGUGCUCAGGGACAUGAUUUAGCAGAGGGUUGUUAGUUAGGGUAGUGUGGUUAGGUUGUGGUCAGACUCGAUGAUCUUUAAGGUCUUUUCCAGCCUGAGAAAUUGUAUGAUUCUAUGAAAAGCACGGCCUCGCACCUGGGUUAAGACAACCCUCACUACCAUGAUAGGCUGGAGGAUGAAAGCACUGAGCACAGCCCUGCCGAGAAACACCUGGGGGUACUGCUGGGUGGCAAGCUGGACAUGAGCCAGCAGUGUGCCCUCUCAGUACAGAAAGCCAACCGUACCCUGGGCUGCGUGACCAGCAGGUCGAGGGAGGUGAUCCUGCCCCUCUGCUGUGCACUGCUGAGGCCUCACUGGUAGUAUUGCGUCCACAUGUGGAUUGCUCAGUACUGGAGAGACACGGACCUGUUGGAGCACGUCCAGAGAAGGGCUGUAGACGUGAUCCAUGGAAUGGAACACCUCUCCUGUGAGGAGGACAGGCUGAGAGAGCUGGGGCUCUUCAGCCUGGAGAAGAGAAGGCUGCAGGGUGACCUGAUAGCGGCCUUUCAGUAUCUAAAGGGGAGCUACAGGAAAGGGGACAGACUCUUGAGUAGGGUCUGUGGUGACAGAACAAGGGGAAAUGGUUUCAAGCUCAGGGAGGGUAGGUUUAAAUUAGGUACAAGGAAAAAACCUUUUGCAGUGAGGGUGCUGAGUCACUGGAACAGGUUACCGAGUGUUGUUGAUGUUGUUGAUCUGUUUUAGAUCCCUGCUUUAGGAAGACAUAUAGUGGUAAAAGGGAAGAUAUAUAGUGGUAAAACUGAAUUUCUAGGUUUCUCAUCUUUAUUCACCAGUAUAAUGCAAAUGGCAGCUCCCAUUGGAGGGAAGAAACUUCAACAUGGCAAGGAAAUGAAAAUGCUUACUAUAUUUGUUUGCAUGCAUGAAGAAUGCUCUAACGCAAAUGUGUGAAAACAGCAGAAACAUUUUGGUAAUGCCUUCUGGACUUUCUGAGUUUCAAAGAGAGGGAGUGCCUAGGUUCAGGCAGCUGAGUUACCAUGAGCCUGCAGAUCCACACCUGAGUGCCUUGUGCUUUAAAAUGUGCUCUGUUUUUCCAAUCUUUCAUAUGUUGACUUGCUCAGGAAAAACAAAACAAAACAAACAAAAAAACAAACAAAAACAAACAAACAAAAAAAAACCCCAACGUUUUUAAUGCUUGUUUUGAAGUUUGUCAUAAACAGGUUCAGUUAUACACUGGCCUGUGUAUUCACCACUUAAGGUAAGAUUAAAAUGAUUUUGCAUGUUUCGCAGAUUUGUAUGAGUAGUAUUUGUUCUGUAAUGGGUAAGUGGGCUGUGACCUGGAGAGAUGUGGCUUCUGUCAGAAAGCAGAGCAGGCCUCAGGCUGCUGUAGUAUCUCAAGUUGGCAUAGACUUUCAAAAGAACACUAUGCUUGGCGAGGCAGAGAGUGGCUGUAGUCAGUUUUGCCUCAUGCCUGCGUUUUCUUGGCUGUCAGUGUGUUUGCGAAGUGUGUGUGAUAUGUUAGUUUUAUC
rnacentral:lncRNA from 1 species